GUAUGAGAACCCAUCACCUGUGUAUGAGAACCCAUCACCUGUGUAUGAGAACCCAUCACCUGUGUAUGAGAACCCAUCACCUGUGUAUGAGAACCCAUCAGCUGUGCGUGACAACACACAACAAAAUCAAUCUCCACCUCUACCCCUGACAGACUUCAAGAGUACCUAUGAUACUAGGAUAAUGCAGUAAGAGGUCAGGAAGAGAUCUCCAUUCAACCACCAUUCUCCAGUUCCACAAUCAACACAAAGAAAACCUGAUAACACCCAGUGUGGAUCUGAAAUGUAACGUACAUAAUACAUUUGUGCUAUGUUUGUCUGCUUUCUUGUGUAAUUUUUUAACAUUGAAAAGAAAACCUUGUUAAUAAUGAAAGUGGAUAAUGCAUUACUGUACUGUCAUUUUAUAAAUUAGAGCAUAAUUAAUGCCAGUUAAAUAAAUAACCAUAUUUAAAUUAUGUAAAAACAGAAUGACUAAUAAAUAUUGCCUGCUAUUUUCCUACUACUCUGUUGUUCUUUGUGUCAGACCAGUGAUUACCAGUUUAUAAGAUAUAUACUGAACAAAACUAUAAAAGCAACAUGUAAACUGAUGGUACAAUGUUUCAGAGCUUAAAUAA